rnacentral:rRNA from 1 species
CGCAUCUGUGCAUGCAGCAUAUCAAUAAGCGGAGGAAAAGAAACUAACAAGGAUUCCCCUAGUAACGGCGAGUGAAGCGGGAAGAGCUCAAAUUUGAAAUCUUAAAGGGUUUCCCUUUACGAAUUGUAGUUUAAAGAAGUGUUUUCUGUUGAGGUUUUGGUAAAAGUUCUUUGGAAUAGGACAUCAUAGAGGGGUGAGAAUCCCGUAUUUGACCUUUACUUUCAACUUUGUGAUACACUUUCAAAGAGUCGGAUUGUUUGGGAAUGCAGUCCAAAAUGGGUGGUAAAUUUCAUCUAAAGCUAAAUAUUGGCGAGGGACCGAUAGCGAACAAGUACCGUGAGGGAAAGAUGAAAAGAACUUUGAAAAGAGAGUUAAACAGUACGUGAAAUUGUCAAAAGGGAAGCGUUUGACACCAGUGUUGUUUUUCUGAAAAUCAAUUAAAGAACUGUUUAUGCUAAGCUGUUUAGACUUUAUCAGCUAACUGUUUAGUUUUGAGCUUUUCUUUAAUGCACUUUUCAGUUAACAAGUCAACAUCAAUUUCUUUUGCUGUAAAAAAGCUUGAGGAAGGUGGCUUGAGAUUCGUCUUAAGUGUUUAUAGCCUCUUGCCUAUGCAGUCGGAGAGAUUGAGGUCUGCAGCGUAGAUCCUUCGGGGCUAAAUGCAUUUGUGCUAAGUUAUAGCAUUUUAUAGACAACUUGUUGACUAUGAUUUGUCUUGUAGCUUACUCGCUUAUGUUAUUUUACCUACGCUUAGGAUGUUGAGUCAUCACACAUCUCU